AUGGAGGAGAGCGACCUGGAGUUCGUGCUAGAUCUGGUGGACAGAUUCCCACUUCGAGAAGAGUUCGCGGAUAACCUUGAGCACCCGGAUCCGGUGCCGCUGAGGCUGCUGCCCAGGGGGAGGCUGGCGCUCUUGGCCCGGAGGAUUCAAAUGGUGAAUCUGGUUAAUCGGGAGGCACCUCGAUGGACGAAAAGGGAGCUAUGUGCAGUUGUCUCCACUGCAUAUGAACCUGAGUCUGGUAUGUUUGGAUUGAAUGCAGAUGAGCUUUGUAAGGAAGACGACAAAAUAGACUGGGAUUAA
rnacentral:rRNA from 1 species